rnacentral:rRNA from 1 species
UACAGAGGGUGCGAGCGUUGUCCGGAAUCACUGGGCGUAAAGGGCGCGUAGGUGGUGGCUUAAGCGUGCGGUGAAAGCUCGGAGCUCAACUCCGAGUCGGCCGUGCGAACUGGGCUCACUGGAGCAUAGUAGAGGCAGGUGGAAUUCCAGGUGUAGCGGUGAAAUGCGUAGAUAUCUGGAGGAAUACCGGUGGCGAAGGCGGCAUCCUGGACCGACAUUGACGCUGAACGGCGAAAGCUAGGGGAGCAAACGGG